rnacentral:rRNA from 1 species
UGGGGAAUCUUGCGCAAUGGGCGAAAGCCUGACCCAGCAACGCCGCGUGAAGGAUGAAGUAUUUCGGUAUGUAAACUUCGAAAGAAUAGGAAGAAUAAAUGACGGUACUAUUUAUAAGGUCCGGCUAACUACGUGCCAGCAGCCGCGGUAAUACGUAGGGACCAAGCGUUGUUCGGAUUUACUGGGCGUAAAGGGCGCGUAGGCGGCAAUUCAAGUCAUCUGUGAAAUCUCCGGGCUUAACUCGGAACGGUCAGAUGAUACUGCUUUGCUAGAGUGCAGAAGGGGCAAUCGGAAUUCUUGGUGUAGCGGUGAAAUGCGUAGAUAUCAAGAGGAACACCUGAGGUGAAGACGGGUUGCUGGGCUGACACUGACGCUGAGGCGCGAAAGCCAGGGGAGCAAACGGGAUUAGAUACCCUAGUAGUCCCUGAGCGGGCUGGCAAGGCGCAU